AGUGAACGCUGGCGGUAGGCCUAACACAUGCAAGUCGAACGGCAGCACAGUAAGAGCUUGCUCUUACGGGUGGCGAGUGGCGGACGGGUGAGGAAUACAUCGGAAUCUACUUUUUCGUGGGGGAUAACGUAGGGAAACUUACGCUAAUACCGCAUACGACCUACGGGUGAAAGCAGGGGAUCUUCGGACCUUGCGCGAUUGAAUGAGCCGAUGUCGGAUUAGCUAGUUGGCGGGGUAAAGGCCCACCAAGGCGACGAUCCGUAGCUGGUCUGAGAGGAUGAUCAGCCACACUGGAACUGAGACACGGUCCAGACUCCUACGGGAGGCAGCAGUGGGGAAUAUUGGACAAUGGGCGCAAGCCUGAUCCAGCCAUACCGCGUGGGUGAAGAAGGCCUUCGGGUUGCAAAGCCCUUUUGUUGGGAAAGAAAAGCAGCAGGUUAAUACCCCACUGUUCUGACGGUACCCAAAGAAUAAGCACCGGCUAACUUCGUG
rnacentral:rRNA from 1 species